CCUACGGGUGGCAGCAGUGGGGAAUAUUGCGCAAUGGGCGAAAGCCUGACGCAGCGACGCCGCGUGAGGGAUGAAGGUCUUCGGAUCGUAAACCUCUGUCAGCAGGGAAGAACGGUCACUGGGCUAAUCAGCAGUGAAUUGACGGUACCUGCAAAGGAAGCACCGGCUAACUCCGUGCCAGCAGCCGCGGUAAUACGGAGGGGGCGAGCGUUAAUCGGAAUGACUGGGCGGAAAGCGCUCGUAGGCGGUAAGUCAAGUCAAGGGUGAAAGCCCCGCGCUCAACGUGGGAACUGCCUUUGCAACUGGCACACUGGAGUGUGUGCGAGGAUAGUGGAAUUCCAGGUGU
rnacentral:rRNA from 1 species